UACAGAGGAGCCAAGCGUUGUCCGGAUUGACUGGGCGUAAAGCGCACGUAGGCGGAUCGAUCAGUCAGGGGUGAAAUCCCAGGGCUCAACCCUGGAACUGCCUUUGAUACUGUCGAUCUGGAGUAUGGAAGAGGUGAGUGGAAUUCCGAGUGUAGAGGUGAAAUUCGUAGAUAUUCGGAGGAACACCAGUGGCGAAGGCGGCUCACUGGUCCAUUACUGACGCUGAGGUGCGAAAGCGUGGGGAGCAAACAGG
rnacentral:rRNA from 1 species